UAGCAUUUGAUAGAGGGACGCCAGUGUGU
rnacentral:piRNA from 1 species